CCCUGUUUAGCUCAGUUGGUACAGAGCUCCGCCUGUAAUGGAGAGGUCUUGGGUUCGAUUCCCGGACCAGGCG
rfam:Ixodes scapularis strain Wikel colony gcontig_1108378254332, whole genome shotgun sequence.